rnacentral:snRNA from 1 species
ACUGCUUAUCAGCCCUUUGGCUAAGAUCAAAUGUUUUUCUGUUCUUAUCAGUUUAACAUCUGAUAUAUCCUCUAUCAAGGACAGCAUAUUAAGUGGAUGUUUGGAGCAGGGAAAUGGAAUAGCAUGCUGCAUCCACUCAAUUCAGGACCUGGUAUUGCAGGAUUUCCAGGAAUGGUGGACCCCAU